rnacentral:rRNA from 1 species
UACGUAGGGGGCAAGCGUUGUCCGGAAUCAUUGGGCGUAACGAGCGUGUAGGCGGUCCGGUAAGUCGGCUGUGAAAGUCCAAGGCUCAACCUUGGGAUGCCGGUCGAUACUGCCGGACUAGAGUUCGGAAGAGGCGAGUGGAAUUCCCGGUGUAGCGGUGAAAUGCGCAGAUAUCGGGAGGAACACCUAUGGCGAAGGCAGCUCGCUGGGACGUUACUGACGCUGAGACGCGAAAGCGUGGGGAGCAAACAGG